rnacentral:tRNA from 1 species
GCUUGUGAAGCUCAAUUGGUAGAGCAGAACACUGAAGCUGUUUUGGUUGUAAGUUCGAGUCUUACCAUAGGCA